CUGACAUCGCCAGCUCCUGGAUCCCCAGAACAGAGCUGGGAAGGAAUAAAUAGAAGGGAGGGAAAGCGGCGUUCUGUUCCGGCUCCGGCAACAACGUGAACCAACCGUCAGAGAGUUAACAGCAGCCAAGCAUUUGGUGUUAAUCUUUAAUAUUCCCAAGAACUUGUCACCUCUUCCUUCAGGCCCACAGCUGCCUCCUCCAAGUGAGCUCUUGCUUCUCACAAGACAUCACACCUUCUAUUGUGUUCUGGAAGGAAAAAAAAGUACCCACCAGAGGGGAGUUCUGAGUGAUCAGCCUGCCAGGGGAGAAAGAGAAGCUAUGCUUGAUAUUUACUCGGAAAAAGACUGAACGAGCUGAGCAUAGCUCCUCCUGCUCUUCCUGGACCUCACAGGCUUGCAGCAGACCCUGCCUGCGCUCAGCCUCUGAUGCCUGCCUUGCCUCCCUCUCCCCAGGCCCCAGAAAUCAGGAGUGUGAACAAAUGUGGAGGGAUGAACAUGGCAGCAGAAGGUGAAAGGGCUCUGUGGCUGUUGCCCAGCUAACAGUGUGUCUACUGUUGACAGUUUAUUCUCAUCAAGACAGAGUGCAGGCUCUGUGGAUCCUGUGUGAAUCUGUCCAUCACCUUGAAUGUCUGGCGAUCUUGACACCACGCUUCAUGGCCAGGCUGGACCCUCUACUAACCGCUGAGGUUUCACUGCUUGCUUCUGACCUCAGAGGACCUCUUCAUGCCAUCCAGACACCUUCACCUCCAUUGCGAAUUCCUGAUAUGCUGAUUUUCGUGGUUUCUUCCUCUACCUGUACAUCCCUCCACACAUCCUACCUCUGAUCCAGUGUCUAUAUACCUACCAUCCUUUUGUACAGAGACUCCAGAGUCAGAAAUGCUAUCAGCUGCCUGUAAAGCUGGUGGGCUUACAGUGUGUGCGUGUGCGUGUGCGUGUGCGUGUGCGUGUGCGUGUGCGUGUGCGUGUGUGUGUGUGUGUGUGUGUGUAAAGAGAUCAAGGGAUCGAGAGACUUGCCCAAGGUUGCAUAAUGUACGAGUGAGGAAAUGAGUCACAUCUCCUCACGGCACUCCAUGUAGAGUGAACAUCUCUGUUAUAUUAAUUUGAAUAUGAAUUUGAAUUUGAAUAUGAAUGUUAUAUAAUUUGAAUAUGCUUGGCCCAUGGGAAGUGCUACUAUUAGGAGGUGUGGCCUAGUUGGAGGAAGUGCAUCACUGGGGGGCAAGAGCAGGAGGAUGGGGCGGGGAGGCUUUGAGAUCCUCUGCUUAAGCUCUGCCCAGGGAAGAAAGUCUCUUGGCUGCCUUUGGAUCAAGAUGUAGAACUCUCUUGGCUCCUCCAGCGCCAUGGCUGCCUGGAAGCUGCCAUGAUGUCAAUGGACUGACCCUUUAAACUGUAA
rnacentral:lncRNA from 1 species